rnacentral:rRNA from 1 species
GACAGAGGGUGCAAACGUUGUUCGGAAUUACUGGGCGUAAAGCGCGUGUAGGCGGCCCGGCAAGUCGGAUGUGAAAGCCCUGGGCUUAACCUAGGAAGUGCAUUCGAAACUCUCGGGCUUGAGUUCUGGAGAGGAAGGCGGAAUUCUCGGUGUAGAGGUGAAAUUCGUAGAUAUCGAGAGGAACACCGGUGGCGAAGGCGGCCUUCUGGACAGUGACUGACGCUGAGACGCGAAAGCGUGGGGAGCAAACAGG